UGGCAUUUCAGUAUAGUUGAGUUAUAGGUGCUGGUGACCAAAGUUUUGUUCGAAGUCCCAGAUGAGAUCCCGAGCAUCACGAGGGUUUCCGGAAUGGUCCAGAAAUGAAGAUUGAUAUAUAGGUAGUUGGUAUUUGGAUUCCGGAAGGAUUUCGGGCAUUGCCGGCAGUGUACCGGGAGUGACGAAUGGGUACCGGGGGCCCACCAGGUGGGCCCACCACUACCCAAGAGGGCCACCUGGACUUGAUGGUGGCGCAAUAGCUCUUAGAUGGCUAUCUAGUCAACCAAAGAAAGCCCAUGAGGUAAAAGUGGAAAAAACCAAAA
rnacentral:lncRNA from 1 species